rnacentral:lncRNA from 1 species
GAAUCAGAGAGACCCAGGGGUUGAAGAGGAUUUAUUUAAUUAUUUAGGUGCACCGACCCAGUCGGAUUAACAUCCAAAGGACUGAGCCCCGAACAAGGAGUCCGGUUACCUUUUAAGCAUUUAGUGGGAUGGGGGGAGAUUUGUGCAGGGGGAAGCAUAUUACAGAAACGAGAAACAAAGACAGUUAUUUAAGACAUGCAUUACAUUAUUUCUAACUUUUCAAGGAACAGCAUGUUUUAUGACUUGAGAUUAUCUGUUUAGUGACCUUGCAGCUGCACAGCUAGAGAAACAGAGUUCACAAUGCCUGGGAAAGGGAGAGAUAAGGCUCACUAGCCACAGAAAGACAGGCAGUCAAUUUUUUUUUUUUUUUUUUUGAGGUGGAGUCUUGCUCUGUGGCCCAGGCUGGAGUGCGGUGGCACGAUCUCGGCUCACUGCAAGCUCUGCCUCCCGGGUUCACGCCAUUCUCCUGCCUCAGCCUCCCGAGUAGCUGGGACUACAGGCGCCCGCCACCACCACACCCAGCUAAUUUUUUGUAUUUUUAGUAGAGAUGGGGUUUCACCGUGUUAGCCAGGAUGUUCUCUAACUCCUGACCUCAGGUGAUCUGCCCACCUCAGCCUCCCAAAGUGCUGGGAUUACAGGCAUGAGCCACGGCGCCCGGCCUGCUUACACAUUUUUAAAUUUCUUUUAAUUCUUAUUCCACCUCAGCUUCCCAAAGUUAAAAAUUAUGUUUAUUAUCACUGAUAGAGAAUCUAAUUGCUUUCCAGUAGGCGGGGACUACAUAAAUUCUGGAGCACCAGCCUGCCACAGGGCUGGAGUGCAAUACGUCUUCAUGGCUCACUGCAGCCUCAACCUCCCAGGCACAAGCGAUCCUCCCAUCUCAGCCUCCUGAGGAGCUGAGGCCACAGCUGCAUGCCACCAUACCCAGGUAAGUUUUUGGGAUUUUUUUUGGUGUUUUUUUUUUUUGUUUUUUUUUUUGAGACGGAGUCUCACUCCGUCACCCAGGCUGGAGUGCAGUGGCAUUAUCCUGACUCACUGCAACCUCCAGUUCCCAGGUUCAAGCGAUUCUCCUGCCUCAGCCUCCCAAGUGACUGAGACUACAGGCAUGCACCACCGUACCUGGCUAAUUUUUAUAUUUUUAGUAGAGACGGGGUUUCACUCUGUUGGCCGGGCUGGUCUCAAACUCCUGACCUCAGGUGAUCCGCCCACCUCGGCCUCCCAAAGUGCUGGGAUUACAGCAUGAGCCACUGCGCUUGGCCAUUUUUUUGUAUUUUUGCAGAGACGGGGGUCUCGCUAUGUUUUCCAGGCUGGUCUCAAACCCCUAGGCUCAAGUGAUCCUCCCAUCCUGGCCUCCCAAAGUGCUGGGAUCACAGGUGUGAGCCAUUGCACCCAGCCAACAACUAUUUACUGAGCACCUCUGUAUGCCAGCUAGAGUUUUGUUUUGUUUUGUUUUGUUUUGUUUUUUUGAGACGGAGUCUUGCUCUGUCG